AUUGAACGCUGGCGGCAUGCCUUACACAUGCAAGUCGAACGGCAGCACGGGGCAACCUGGUGGCGAGUGGCGAACGGGUGAGUAAUGCAUCGGAACGUACCUUUCAGUGGGGGAUAACGUAGCGAAAGUUACGCUAAUACCGCAUAUUCUGUGAGCAGGAAAGCAGGGGAUCGCAAGACCUUGCGCUGAUUGAGCGGCCGAUGUCAGAUUAGCUAGUUGGUGAGGUAAAGGCUCACCAAGGCGACGAUCUGUAGCGGGUCUGAGAGGAUGAUCCGCCAGACUGGAGCUGAAGCACGGUCCAGACUCCUACGGGAGGCAUCAGUGGGGAAUUUUGGACAAUGGGGGCAACCCUGAUCCAGCCAUGCCGCGUGAGUGAAGAAGGCCUUCGGGUUGUAAAGCUCUUUCGGCCGGGAAGAAAUCGCACGGGCUAAUACCCUGUGUGGAUGACGGUACCGGAAUAAGAAGCACCGGCUAACUACGUGCCAGCCGCCGCAGUAAUAC
rnacentral:rRNA from 1 species